GUAAGAAAUGAUAUUUCUAUUUCAGAUGCUCUAGUUGGAUCUCUGAAGACAAUGUGGUGCUUUACAGAAAUGUUUGUUCGUAGUUACCACAGUAUGUUUUUGCUCUCAUUUCAUUGCGGUUGAUUCAUAGAAUCUCUGGCUGUUAAGGACCAGGUUUUCACUAUGCAGUGUAGCACAAUCUCUCAUUAAUACCAGUGAGAUGCACUGAAGCUUCAAAAAGCAUUCUGCAUUUGGCAGGGGUAGGACAACUUGGCAAAAUGAGUACUGAAGAAAUAGACUUUCAAAAAAGAUCUGUAGCACUCAGCGCUGUAGUUGCAUGUUAUGUGCUGUUCGUGUGGCUUACUGAAUCUUAACCGUAAACUUCAUUAAAUACAAUUCCCUACAGAGAAGAAUAAGUAUGCAUCUUACCUACAUACAUUAUAAUUUUGAGGCCAGCUGAGGAUUUAUGGGAGACAACUCCAGCUGGUUGGGAAGGUAAAGCAAAAUGAAGAGAGACAGAAGCAAAGUACUGCAUCACUAAUACAGUGGUGUCCUCUGAACAGAUCAAAAUGAGCUUGAAAAACAAAUGGAAAUCUGAAAGCACAGUGUAAAGCUCUAGAUCUAGGCCCUUAUAUGAGGUACAUCAUAUGAAGGAAGUAAAACAUCAUCUUGACCUACAUUACUUGCCAUGCCAUUCAUUAUCAUGGCGUUGUAAGACAAGAGCUGGGACAGAUGCAGCCCCAUGCAUGUUGUCAUCUAAAUCACUGGGUUCCGAUGAGUUCCUCCACUACUACAGCUGAAGCUACAAACGGGACUAACUCUAAUUCUACCAAGCAAAGAGAAAACAAGGAGAAGCUCCAUAAAACAGAACAAGCUUCAGAUCUCAUUUGUCAGGUGCCAACAACACACUGUGGAUAAAUUCCUGAGGAACUCGUGUGGACUGAGCCAGAGUUUCCAAGCUAAGAGAUUUGUUAUGGAGUAUUCUUAGCAUGCAGCAGAAGACCUCCUUCUCUCUUUCACCAGCUCUGCUAGAGCUGAAUGAAGCAAUACCAAGGAAGGAAUUUGCCUCAGGUUAUUUUAUGCAGCCUUUUUGAAGGCUAAGGGCAAAAAUACAAGCAGACCUAUGAAGAAUUUACAAUAAGCUGACUGACACAGUUAAGAAAACUUGGAAUUGUCCAUCUAACGAGCAGUACACGCAACUGCUAAAAGCUGGACCAUCAAUCCACAUUGGUCAUGUAACUCAGCAGGUAAGUGAACAACACCAGUGCCUCUGUUGGGAUCCUUUCUCUUCUUAGCCCAUUAAGUCUGGUGUGCUCAGACUGAAAUCUACUUUUCUCCAUGCUUUUUAUACACUGAAAGUUGCUUUAUUAACAUUAAAAGACUCCUUCCAUCACUGGAAGCCACUAAGUCCAUUUUCAUGUGAUUUCCCUGGAGCUGGGCAGCCCCAAAAGUAGCAGGGACUCCUUGGGCAGGGGCUGUCAACCAGUGUGGUUCCCAUGUCCUGCUCCAGCAAUUCACACCAAUCUAAAAGUCCGCCUCGUCUACCUACUUUCCCUACCACCUUGGUGUUGAAACACAAUGCACAAAGAAAUAAUUCACAUUUACAGAAGUACGAUACAUAAAAAUUAAUUAAAACAUUAAAUCUUUCUAAAGAAACGCGAUGUACACAGUUAAACUCAGCAUUUA
ensembl:lncRNA